GUCAUAAUUUUCUCUUUUUGUAGAAAAAAUAAAUUCGAAUCAUUUAAGGAAACGAAAGCAAGUAAACAACGAACACCAUCUAACAAGCCUAAAUGUUGGUGAUAUUUGUCCUACUUUGUGAACGUUGUUAAAAUUAAAAUAUAAUGAUUUAAUGUUAUUAAGCUUACCAUUUUAUAUUAAAUAUUACUGAACUGUGGGAGUCGAGUUCAAUGUGGCAGGAUUAACCUUUCAUUUAUUUAUCACUAACUUAAAUAAUGAAAAAUUAGGAAUUAUUUUAAAAUUUUGAUAUAUGCGUCUAAGUUAAUAGCUCACAAAAUAUGCAAAAAGAGCAAGAUUUGUAUAUAUUUUGACAUAAUCGUUAGCCGUUUUGCCGUCUGACCAGAUUUUCUAGAAAUGGCGGAUUCUUAACAGUUGAAAAUAAACAGUUUUUGAACUAACCAGUUGUCAAAGAUGAACUCAGGAAGUAACAUUUUUUAUUAGAAUAACUAUAAUUUGAUAUUGUAACUUUUCAAAAUAAAAACAUGUCAUGGAGAAAAAAAAAUGUCUGGAUAAACUGCCCCAGAAUAUUCUUCUCCAGCUUCAGCAAAAACUAUUUUCUUUCCCCUUGAUAAUCAGGGACAGUCUUGAAGGAAAAUUCUUUUCUCGUAUGUUAUGUUAUGUUUCUAUCAAUGUGUCAAGUGUGAGAAGAAAUCGCAGGUGAAGGGCUAAUUAGGCGUGAUCAUCACUGCAUGACCUGCUGUGGAUCAUCUUGCAUGUACUGAUCUUCUUAUAGAGAAAGAUCCAUCAUCUGAAUGAGUUUGUCACACGCUUAGAACCUGGGGACAAAAAACAGUAUAAGAACAGAAAAUUGGCAGAUUUCAUUGGAGGCUAAAUAAAAGUCUUUGACAAGUUUUGCCGCUACAAUCCAUCAAACUCCGUUUUACCAUUUUGCUGAAGUACUGGAAAAUAAAGUAUCCAGAAAACUGAUUAGGUGAUAAGAUAAUACUGCUGAAUUCUUACUGUAUUUUUUAAGUACCAUAUUUGUUUCCAUAAAUGCAUCUUACUUAGAUGAGAAUUUAGGGAUCAAUUUAAGUUACACUUUUGCCUUUUAUACCCUUUCUUAUGGAUAAUAACAUUCACCACCUAUUGUGAAUUUUUUUAGUUGAAUUUUAUCUUGAAGUCACUGAUGUUACAGUAAUAACACAACAGGAUAUUUAGUUACAGCCUUAAUAUCUACUGAAUUGUGCAUUUUUUAGUUGAAUUUUAUCUUGAAGUCACUGAUGUUACAGUAAUAACACAACAGGAUAUUUAGUUACAGCCUUAAUAUCUACUGAAUUGUGCAUUUUUUAGUUGAAUUUUAUCUUGAAGUCACUGAUGUUACAGUAAUAACAUGACAGGAUAUUUAUUUACAGUCUUAAUAUCUACUGAAUUGUGCAUUUUUUAGUUGAAUCUACUUUUGAAGCAACUGGAAGUGCAGAAACAACAUUGGUGAAUCUUUAGUUACAGUGAAUAUAAUUAUAUGUAAGGGUAGUGUAUUAGAGUUGCGUUUUUAUCUGGAAUACACGUUUGUUUAUGUAAGGAAGUUACAUGCCCGUGUGUACUUGUAUAUGCAGGGAUGGGAUAAGAAUUGGCCACCACUUGGUAGGUUUUUUCUGCUUCUAUUGUACUAAUUGGCAUUCUCCCAAUUACUUCAAAUCUGAUGAAAAAAAAUGUUACAGAGGUGAUGGGGUCUGAGACAAAAAUACUACUUGUAGUAGGCUUGAUCUGAAUUUGCAUUGUCUGCUUUGAUAUGUAGGCUCCUCUUAACUAGCUGACUAAUGGACAGCCAUCCAGUGCAAGAGGUCUUUUUGAAGCCAAAACUAUCCAAUCAUUUUUGAAAUGCAUGAUCUCCUUAAAGUGAAAUGGCAGACAAUCAAAAAAUAAUCAGCAUAGAGGUAGGCUUUAAACCUCUCACUAUCCACCUUAUUGGUGUGCACUUUUCACCCAUAUAUUUAGAAUACAUAUUUUUCUUUCAUCAGACAUUACUUUUAUGUGUGAAGUCAUUUAGAUGGAGCCUCAUUUGGACAGGGAUCUAAUGUAUUAUUUGCUGUUACAUUAUCAUGUCCAAAUACUUAUUGAAAGAAUGGUUGUAACAAUGUAUACACAUUCUAGAGUACAUCAAUUUGCUUUAGAAUCGAAAAAAAAAGGCUAUAGUGGGAUAGGCAGAGAUUCAUGCAGGAACAUACAUCAUAUUCAGUAUCUGCCUUUUAAAAGACUCAAUUUGUAAAUGAUUGGUCAGUAAUAUGCCCUAGUGGAAACUUAUUUGUCCAAGUAUUGUCUCAUUAUUUCAUGAAAUGACCAGUUUGUAUUUUAACUGGUCUGUGAUAUUGAUCUUUGGAACAUGAGUAAAAGUGGGCAACGUCCAUCAGUAAAUAAUGUUCAUAUCUAAUACCACAGAGACCAUGCAUGUGUAGUCUUCUUUAUGGGCUAGGGUCCAGGAUUAGCUAAACAUUUCAUUUGAUGUUCUAAUCCUUGUAUGCAUAUACGUAGGUGUAUGGGUGCAUGUAUGUAUGUAGUUACAACAGAAAUGUUUUAGCUAAUGUAUUAAAAAACAAUAUAAAAA